rnacentral:tRNA from 1 species
GGGGGAUAUGGCGAAAUUGGUAGACGCUACGGACUGAAAAUCCGUCGACUUUAGAAAUCGUGAGGGUUCAAGUCCCUCUAUCCCCAAACA